rnacentral:ncRNA from 1 species
ACUUGAACGAAGAUGGAAGAUUAGUAAAUGACAUUUAUUGUGUCAGAGAGCGGGAGAUUGCUGAGAACCCGUCACAAUGAACCAUUGAACCUGCUUCUGGAGUCCUGGGAGAACCUCGGGCGUAUCCUUGGCGUUAACAAGAAAAGUGGGAUGCGAUAUAAUGCAUUCAACAAAGGUGGUACCACGGAAACUUACCCUUUUCGUCCUUUUU